rnacentral:piRNA from 1 species
UCCAGGCCCAACUUGUACCUCUGAGUGUCC